rnacentral:rRNA from 1 species
UUUUUCUUGGCGAGUUUGAUCCUGGCUCAGAGCGAACGCUGGCGGCGUACUUAACACAUGCAAGUCGAACGGG